ACGCUCGACACCUACGAGAGGCAGCAGUAGGGAAUCUUCCACAAUGGACGCAAGUCUGAUGGAGCAACGCCGCGUGAGUGAAGAAGGUCUUCGGAUCGUAAAACUCUGUUGUUAGAGAAGAACACGAGUGAGAGUAACUGUUCAUUCGAUGACGGUAUCUAACCAGCAAGUCACGGCUAACUACGUGCUAGCAGCCGCGGUAAUCUGAGCGGGCUGGCAAGGC
rnacentral:rRNA from 1 species